rnacentral:rRNA from 1 species
GACGAACGCUGGCGGCGUGCUUAACACAUGCAAGUCGAACGGAAAGGCCCUGCUUUUGUGGGGUGCUCGAGUGGCGAACGGGUGAGUAACACGUGAGUAACCUGCCCUUGACUUUGGGAUAACUUCAGGAAACUGGGGCUAAUACCGGAUAGGAGCUCCUGCUGCAUGGUGGGGGUUGGAAAGUUUCGGCGGCUGGGGAUGGACUCGCGGCUUAUCAGCUUGUUGGUGGGGUAGUGGCUUACCAAGGCUUUGACGGGUAGCCGGCCUGAGAGGGUGACCGGCCACAUUGGGACUGAGAUACGGCCCAGACUCCUACGGGAGGCAGCAGUGGGGAAUAUCGCACAAUGGGCGGAAGCCUGAUGCAGCAACGCCGCGUGCGGGAUGACGGCCUUCGGGUUGUAAACCGCUUUCGCCUGCGACGAAGCGUGAGUGACGGUAAUGGGUAAAGAAGCACCGGCUAACUACGUG